rnacentral:rRNA from 1 species
GAUGAACGCUAGCGACGGGCCUAACACAUGCAAGUCGAGGGGCAGCACGAAGUAAGCUUGCUUACUUUGGUGGCGACCGGCGCACGGGUGCGUAACAGGUGUGCAAUCUGUCCAUAAUCGGGGAAUAGCCCAGCGAAAGUUGGAUUAAUGCUCCAUGUGAGUUUUAGAGGCAUCUCUUUAACUUGAAACGCAAGGAUUAUGGGUGAGCACGCUUCUGAUUAGGUAGUUGGUGAGGUAACGGCUCACCAAGCCGACGAUCAGUAGGGGUUCUGAGAGGAAGGGCCCCCACAUUGGAACUGAGACACGGUCCAAACUCCUACGGGAGGCAGCAGUGAGGAAUAUUGGUCAAUGGGCGAAAGCCUGAACCAGCCAAGUCGCGUGAAGGAUGAAGGUUCUAUGGAUUGUAAACUUCUUUUGUCUGGGGGUAAAAAAGCGGACGUGUCCGUUCUUGCAAGUAUCAGACGAAUAAGCAUCGGCUAACUCCGUGCCAGCCGCCGCCGUAAGAC